rnacentral:rRNA from 1 species
UAAGAAGAGAGAAUGCCGGAAUGAGUAGCGAGAGGAAGGUGAGAAUCCUUCCGGCCGAAUAUCUAAGGUUUCCAGAGUAAAGCUGAUCUGCUCUGGGUAAGUCGGGGCCUAAGGCGAGGUCGAAAGACGUAGUCGAUGGAUAACAGGUAAAGAUUCCUGUACUAUAUCAUAACAGAACUGUGGGGACGCAGACAGAGAGCAUAAGCCGGGAAUGGAAAGACCGGUACAAGCGAGGUAGGAGUGCAUCAGGCAAAUCCGGUGCACAAUCUGAAGACGUGAUGUGGGGCGUAAAGCCGGAAGUAUGUGAGCUGGCUGCCAAGAAAAGCCGCUAUUGUUUAUGAUAUACCCGUACCGUAAACCGACACAGGUGGAUGAGGAGAGAAUCCUAAGGCCGACGGGAGAAGCAUUGUUAAGGAACUCGGCAAAAUGACUCCGUAACUUCGGGAGAAGGAGUGCCAUGUAAAAGUGGCCGCAGAGAAUUGGCCCAAGCAACUGUUUAGCAAAAACACAGGUCUAUGCAAAACCGAAAGGUGAGGUAUAUGGGCUGACGCCUGCCCGGUGCUGGAAGGUUAAGGGGAGAGGUUAGCCGUAAGGCGAAGCUUUGAACUUAAGCCCCAGUAAACGGCGGCCGUAACUAUAACGGUCCUAAGGUAGCGAAAUUCCUUGUCGGGUAAGUUCCGACCCGCACGAAAGGCGUAAUGAUUUGGGCACUGUCUCAACAAUGCACCCGGUGAAAUUGAAAUACCAGUGAAGAUGCUGGUUACCUGCGCCAGGACGGAAAGACCCCAUGGAGCUUUACUC